AUUGCAGAUCCAGGUGCUCGCUGGAACAAACGUGGAACCAGAAAGCGUACGAGGCAUAAGAUGGUCAUGGACCAGAUUUCAGGUAGAACGAGGCGAGGGAGAGCAACCCCGUUUGUUACUGACCCCGAGCAAAAUCAAUGUGGCAAAUGUGGUAGACUUGGACACAACUCGCGUACUUGCCAUUGGCCGCUAAGUCAGGAUGGAGCAGUUCCACCUCCUGGAUCCAUACUACGAGGUGAAGCACCGAGGACGACUCACUGCCGAGGGGGCGGAACUACCCCCGCUUCGACCUCGAACGCAUGACAAGUUCGAGGAGAUGCGGUAUGACGACAGGUACACACCUCUGCUGCAGAGGGCUGGCCUAGA